rnacentral:lncRNA from 1 species
UCCCCAAGCCCCCAUGUAACGUCCCCAAGUCCCCAUGUGAUGUCCCCAAGCACCCACAAAAUAUCCCAAAGAACCCCCCCAACAUCCCCAAGCCCCCCCCACAACGUCCCCAAGUCCCCCCCCAAACGUCCCCGCGCCCCCACCUGGCGAGCAGCAGGCGCAGGACGUCGUGGGGCUGGGUGAAGGCACGGAAGGUGGCGAGGAAGGUGGGGACGAAGGCUCCGUCCCCGCGGGCGGGGGCCUCCAGCAGGUGCCGCACCAGGCGGGGCAGGGGGGCGGCGCGCAGCAGGCGGGCGGGGGGCGCCCCGGGCCGGGGGGCCAGGGUGAAGACGGCGUCGUCCUCGCGCACCUCCGCCUGGGGGGGGUCCUCGUCGGGGGGGCAGGGCCGGUAGGAGCUGAGCACCACCCCCGGCUCCUGGCCCAGGGGGGGCCGGGCCCCCUCCAGCAGCGCCCGCAGCGCCCGCGGGAGCAUGGGGCGCCCCACGGCUCCGACCCACGGCUCCGACCCACGGCGUGGUCAGCCCCACGGCACGGGCAUGGCGGGGGGGGGGGGCCUGGGCGAGAGGGGGGGCCCUCAGCACCCACUGGCUGCCCCACAGCAUCCCAGUGGUGCUCCCAGUGCUCCCAGUGCUGUCCCACAGCAUCCCAGUGGUGCUCCCAGUGCUGCCCCACAGCAUCCCAGUGGUGCUCCCAGUGCUGUCCCAUAGCAUCCCAGUGCUCCAGUGCUGCCCCGCAGCAUCCCAGUGCUCCCAGUACUCCCAUCCUGUGCUGUCCCACAGCUCCCAGUAUGACUAGUGCUCUCUCAGUGCAGUCCCACAGCACCCCAGCGCCACCCAGUGCCGUCCCACAGCAUCCCAUGGUGACCAGUGCUAUCUCCAGUGCUCCCAGUGCCGUCCCAUAGCAUCCCAGUGCUAUCCUCCGGAGCUCCCAGUGCUGCCCCCCAGUGCUCCCAGUGCCUCCCUGCAGCUCCCUCUCGAGCCUCCACCCCCGGUCCCUGCGCCCAGUACCCCCAGUACCCCCAGUCCCGUACUCCCAGUCCCAGCCCCCCGUGCUCCCCCAGUCCCUGCUCCCAGUAACCCCGUCCCUCACCCCCAGUGCUCCCAGUACCUCCCAGUGCCUGCUUCCAGUCUCCCCAUUCCUCUUCCCAGCAACACCGCUUCCUGUUCCCAGCGCUCCCAGUCCCCGCUCCCAGUCCCCGUCCCCUCAGCCCCCUGCUCCCAGUGCUCCCAGUUCUCCCAGUCCAAGCU